AUUGAACGCUGGCGGCAUGCCUUACACAUGCAAGUCGAACGGCAGCACGGGAGCAAUCCUGGUGGCGAGUGGCGAACGGGUGAGUAAUAUAUCGGAACGUGCCCAGUCGUGGGGGAUAACGCAGCGAAAGCUGUGCUAAUACCGCAUACGAUCUAUGGAUGAAAGCGGGGGAUCGCAAGACCUCGCGCGAUUGGAGCGGCCGAUAUCAGAUUAGCUAGUUGGUGGGGUAAAGGCUCACCAAGCCGACGAUCUGUAACUGGUCUGAGAGGACGAGCAGUCACACGGGGACUGAGACACGGCCCAGACUCCUACGGGAGGCAGCAGUGGGGAAUUUUGGACAAUGGGGGAAACCCUGAUCCAGCCAUGCCGCGUGUGCGAAGAAGGCCUUCGGGUUGUAAAGCACCUUUGGCAGGAAGGAAACGGCGCUGUUUAAUAAACGGCGCUAAUGACGGUACCUGCAGAAUAAGCACCGGCUAACUACGUGCCAGCCGCCGCAGUAA
rnacentral:rRNA from 1 species